GACGAACGCUGGCGGCGUGCCUAAUACAUGCAAGUUGAGCGCUGAAGGUUGGUACUUGUACCAACUGGAUGAGCAGCGAACGGGUGAGUAACGCGUGGGGAAUCUGCCUUUGAGCGGGGGACAACAUUUGGAAACGAAUGCUAAUACCGCAUAAAAACUUUAAACACAAGUUUUAAGUUUGAAAGAUGCAAUUGCAUCACUCAAAGAUGAUCCCGCGUUGUAUUAGCUAGUUGGUGAGGUAAAGGCUCACCAAGGCGAUGAUACAUAGCCGACCUGAGAGGGUGAUCGGCCACAUUGGGACUGAGACACGGCCCAAACUCCUACGGGAGGCAGCAGUAGGGAAUCUUCGGCAAUGGACGAAAGUCUGACCGGGCAACGCCGCGUGAGUGAAGAAGGUUUUCGGAUCGUAAAACUCUGUUGGUAGAGAAGAACGUUAGUGAGAGUGGAAAGCUCAUCAAGUGACGGUAACUACCCAGAAAGGGACGGCUAACUACGUG
rnacentral:rRNA from 1 species